ensembl:lincRNA
GCAUGUGGGUGUGGUGGAGGCGGAGCCAAGGACAGAUUGGGACGGCCAGUUCAAUCUGGGCGGGCUUGCUUUUUCUCUGUGGGUUCGGACUCUGCUGUUCUCCAUAGGACAAGCUCUGUGACCUUCGCCUGGGACUGACUGGUCUUUGUUCUUUGGGAACCAAUUUCUCUCUGUUAGAUGGAGCCCCUCAAACCUCCUAGUCUUCCGGGUGGGUCACUCAUUUACCCUGUCAAACUCAGGGGCGGAGCAAUGAGGAACGAAGCUGUGGAGAGCUGAUAAACUCCCAGUUUGAAAACUGAGAUUGUGAGCCCCAGCAGCGACUCCAAAUUGCUGCCCUACAGGCAGAUGGGUCUUUAUCGGUCACAUCUGGGUCUUGAUUAGCGUCUUGAGAACUUUAUUGUUUCCUUAUGGCGUGUCUUUCUUAGUCCUAGCCUAACCGUACCAGAAGUAGAGAAAGAAAAAAAACAGUAGCAAAGCAUCCUAGGAAGGUAGUGAAUGUAGAUAGAACAAGGGUUAAAAUCCUGAAUGCCUCGUAAUAGAUGUGUGGCCUUGAGAACAUCUCCCUUGAGCCUCAGUUUCCUGAUCUAUACGAGGAUGCAGAUAACCAUCUCAGAGUGUGGCUGCGAAGGUUAGAGUUUAACAAAGGUAGUUAGGCACUGUUAAAUAAAAGACAACAAAUCCAUUUGUUACUGAAUCUAGUGGAUGAGAAACCAUGUAAGGAAUUUCGGAUUUUUUUUUUUUUUUUUAAAGCAGGAAGAUUGAGAGCCAAGAAACUCAAAUUCUCUACUCCUGCCUGAAGUAUGAACGGAGAAGCAGAUGGCGAAAAGAAUAGUCUUAUUAACAACCACAAGGUGGCACACUAGAAGGCGGCAAGCAGGCGUUUGCCUUUCAGUGUCCAUCUUGCCCCUUUGCCCUGUAUUUCAAGGGAAGGUAUGUGGGCCCCAAACAGGUGGAGCCCUCGAUGACCUCGUGUUCCAAAGAGCAGCCUGUUCUGGUGUGCUGGCUAUGUACAUCUUAACUUCUUUUUGUAAGCGCAUUGAGGUGUUCAGUUUAACACUUCUGUAUUGAUUAAAAUUAAAAUGUCUGGUUAUUGCUGUGGUCAGCUUUUCUGGCAAGCAUCAACUCCAGCAAAUUGAACUCUUAUAACCUGAGACAAGGGAGGAAGGGGAGGGACUGCGUUUCUAGCUAACUUCAAUGAGCAGGUGAUCGACAAAAGGUGAAUUUCAGUGGGCAGCUAAUUUUGGAGAGUGCAGUAUGGAAUAAGCAGAAAUGGGGGGUAUUGUGCAUGUUUUUAUUCCCCGGAAGCAGUUAUGGCUCUCUUCUUAUUUGUGUGUUAAAGUGUCAUAUGGGAGGGAUUAGGGGUGGGAGAAAGUCUGUCAAAAUGAAGUCAAGAUAUGAAUAUUCACUGCCCAGACUCUUAUAAGAAGUAAAAUUGGAAUCAAGUAGGGGGAUCUUGUAUGCAUGCACUCUCAAGCAUGUGCGCGCGCACACACACACACACACACACACACACACACACACACACACCAGGGGCAAGGGAGGGUUCCUUAAAUAGUAGAGCAUAGAGGAAGGGUAGGGAAAGACACUGCAGUUCUACAUCUGCCCUCCAGAACCUUGGUUCUCUUGAAAGCUGCAAUGAAUAAAGACUAGUAAGGGAAGAGGAACAGCCAAGAGGUUCACUGGGAGGCUUAGUCUAUUUGUAAAGGCCGGUGUUGGAUCUAGACAUCAGUUUCUUUAUAGACAGGCACAGUCAUGAAGCUUCAAGCUACUGGCUGUUUCCUUAGCAUCUCAAGGAGACCUCAUUGUCCAGGUGAUCCUGAGAGUUCACUCAGGGAUAUUCUAGGGUAAGAAUUCAAGACUCGUCUUUAUUUAUGUAAGGAGAAAAACUGGACAGACAGGCAGGGAAGUAAGUCUUUAUCUUAGCAGGAGAGCUCAAUUUCUUCUUAGAAAACAGUGUCAAUGGUUUUAGACUUACUAAUUGGAAACCAGGAGGCUGAUGUGACCUGAAGAGUUCUAGCUUCCAAGGGGCCUUCCAUGAGUCUACAGGGCCCUGCCUGCUAAUGGACCUGCACGUCUCACAGAACAUUCUGCCAUUAUAGAAAACUUCCUGUGUUCUGUCCAGUAUGGCAGCGCCGGCCACACUUGACUGAUGACUGCUUGAACUGUGGCUGUUGUGAGUGAGAAACUGAGCUUUAAGUUGAACUUAAUUUUGCUUUUGAACGGACAGCUAGUUGUGUUAUUAGAAAAAAAAUGUAAGUAUAUUUGAAAAACUUGGGUAGAGGAGCUCGUGAGAGUGUUCAGUGAGUAAAGACUCAAGCCACCAAGUCUGACUACCUGAGUUUGGCUCUGAAGAUCUGCAUAGUAGAAAGAGUACUGACUCCUUAAGUUGUCCCUUAAAACCCACCACACACACACACACUGAAUAAAUGUGAUUUAAAAGGCAUACACAUAUCUUUUGGGUUUUAAAUACUACGUCUAAAUAUAGACGUAGUAUUUAAAUACUUCUGAUGAAGACUUUGUGUUCAAGUUGAGAUCUAAUAUGUGUUUGUAUUCUUACAUAUUAAAAAACAUAAUAUUCUGGAUUGACUAGCUAAAAUAAAACAUGGAAAUCAGUCUUACCUAGUAUGUCUAUUUUUUAAGGAAAAUCCAAAAUGGUGAAUAUGACUCAUGUUACAUUCCUACAGAACAGUACUGGUAUGCAUAUAAUAAAGGAUCUUUUU